rnacentral:rRNA from 1 species
GACGAACGCUGGCGGCGUGCUUAACACAUGCAAGUGGUGCGACGAACCAGGCUUCGGCCUGGGGCAGAGCCGCGAACGGGUGAGUAACACGUGGGCAACCUGCCCUGUUGAUCGGGACAACCCGGGGAAACCCGGGCUAAUACCGAAUGUGGUGCCGGCUCAUGAGAGCCGUCACAAAAGGAAGCUUCGGCCUCCGCGACAGGAUGGGCCCGCGGCCCAUUAGCUUGUUGGUGGGGUAAUGGCCUACCAAGGCAACGAUGGGUAGCUGGUCUGAGAUGACGAUCAGCCACACGGGGACUGGGACACAGCCCAGACUCCUACGGGAGGCUGCAGUGGGGAAUCUUGCGCAAUGAGCGACAGCUUGACGCAGCAACGCCGCGUGGGGGAAGAAGGCUUUCGGGUCGUAAACCCCUUUCAGUUAGGACGAAGCUUUAUUGGUUAAUAACCAAUUGGAGUGACGGUACUUUCAGAAGAAGCCCCGGCUAACUACGUGCCAGCCGCCGCAGUAA